AGAGGAGCCUACCGGCACCGGGCACGUCUGUGGGAGGGCGAGGCUGGGAGAAAGGCACUGAGCUAAAGAUGAGAAGAAGCGUUCCCUGGAGCCUGCAUGGCAUCAAUCAUGAGAAUGGAUGUUGAGGGUUAUGCACCCCACUGAGGCAGCACUGAAUGCCAGAUCCCAAGUUACAGAGGUGCUUGUAUGUUUUUAAAUAAAUUUAUGCGUG
rnacentral:lncRNA from 1 species